rnacentral:rRNA from 1 species
AGUGAAAGAUGGCGGGAGGAAGAACACAGGCAAGUCGAACGGAAGGACAGUAAGAGCUUGCUUCUACGGGUGGCGAGUGGCGGACGGGUGAGGAAUAGAUAGGAAACCACUAUUUCGUGGGGGAUAACGUAGGGAAAGAUACGCUAAUACAGCAUAUGACCUACGGGUGGAAGCAGGGGUGAAACGGAGUUUGGGUGACAGAAUGAGACGAUGUCGGAUUAGCUAGUUGGCGCGGUAAAGGCACACCAAGGCGACGAUACGUAGCUGGUCUGAGAGGAUGAUCAGCCACACUGGAACUGAGACACGGUCCAGACUCCUACGGGAGGCAGCAGUGGGGAAUAUUGGGCAAUGGGCGCAAGCCUGAUCCAGCCAUGCCGCGUGAGUGAAGAAGGCCUUCGGAUUGUAAAGCCCUUUUAUUAGGAAAGAAAAGCUGCAGAUUUAUCCCCCGCUGUUCUGACGGUACCCAAAGAAAAAGCCCCGGCUACCUUCGUG